UUACUUUCCUGGCAAGGGAGUCUUAGCUAUGAUUACUCAGGUGGCUCUCCAGGGCGAGGCUGGUUCAUUGCACUACGAGUCUGCUGACCUCUGCGUUUUCCCCUCAUGUGGGAAACUUGUCUGCACAAUUUAUGGUAGUGGGGCACUGUGUGCGCGUUUUCCCCUG